AACCUCCGAAACGAGCCAUGGUGCCGGCUACCAGCCUUCUUGGGAAAAUACCUCCGGCUGCCUUAUUUCCAUCUGAAUUCCCUGCAUCCCACGGAUAUUAGAUUUCCAGCGAUCUCAAAUGAUGCCGGUGAGGGGGAGCUUGUCCUGGCACGUCAGGAAGCAAACCACGCAGGCACCGGGCACACGGCCGGGAUGAGUCCCAGGGAUGGAGAUGAUGCCACGUGCCGUCAUCCCACGUCACGGAGGUGUCCCCCUCCAGCUUCGUGGGCUUCAGGGGGAUGCACAACCACAACUAGACACUGGAGAAUCCACACUGGGAAACCUGGACCAUUUUUCUUUGACGAUUAUCAGCCAAAGGGCCAGAGCAAUGCUCAUUUUCUGCUAUUGGUUUAAAAACUAUAAGCUAAAAAAAGUGGAGAAAGAAAUUUCAGAAGUCUGUGCCCAAGACUGGGGAAUUCAUGAGAAACACCAAAAUCACAGAAAUAAAUAGAACUUUUUCACAUUUUUAACUGAAAAACAUUUACAAUGGAAUGGCUGUGUCAGGGGUGGGAAGCAGGAGAGGACGUAAUGCCCGGCGCGAGCAUUGCGGGAUGCAUCGGCACGGCUGGCGCAGAGGGGCUGCGGCACCUCCCAAAUUAUCUAUCCAUCAAGUGAAUUAAAAGCAAUAAAUAUUAUUCUUGUUCUCUAA